rnacentral:lncRNA from 1 species
CCGCCCUGAAAGCCAGAAAAUUCAAAUUCGGAGUUAUAUUUUGACAACUGUUACACAUUAACCCUAUGUGGUCACAGCACGGUUGGCAGCAAGUAUGGGAAGAGCAGAGCACAAGCAAACCUACCAGUGAAGCCGAUCUCUUAUUUCCAAGUUGAGAACUGACACUAAGCAUUGAUAUUUGUGAAUAGCUAACAUUUUAUUAGGU